CUACUAUGUCGUGUGACACAUGGUAGUAUACUUGAAAAAAUGGACAACACAAAGAGGCUGUCACAGUUAUAUCAUUUUGUUAUAAGUAGAUGGAAUUCUUUAGGGCAAGUUUAAGCAUGUUAUAAUUAUAUACCCUAUCAGCUACUUCUACUGUAGCUGUGUUUUGAACUCUCAAGGAUAGUAAUGUAACUUAACCGCCUCAUAUUUUUUUUGCAGACUUGUAAAAAAGGCAAAAAGGGCCCAGCAGAAAAGGGCAAAGGUGGAAAUGGAGGAGGAAAACCUCCUUCUGGUCCAAACCGAAUGAAUGGUCAUCACCAACAGAAUGGAGUGGAAAACAUGAUGUUGUUUGAAGUUGUUAAAAUGGGCAAGAGUGCUAUGCAGUCGGUGGUGGAUGAUUGGAUAGAAUCAUACAAGCAUGACCGAGAUAUAGCACUUCUUGACCUUAUCAACUUUUUUAUUCAGUGUUCAGGCUGUAAAGGAGUUGUCACAGCAGAAAUGUUUAGACAUAUGCAGAACUCUGAGAUAAUUCGUAAAAUGACUGAAGAAUUCGAUGAGGUAACUUACUACCUUAAGUGUUUUGAUAACUUAUACAUGUUUAUCUUGACUUAUUUUUGAAAGUAUUAUUAAAUUGUAAGCAUUAGGCUGGG
rnacentral:lncRNA from 1 species